GAUGAACGCUGGCGGCGUGCCUAAUACAUGCAAGUCGAGCGAACCACUUCGGUGGUGAGCGGCGAACGGGUGAGUAACACGUAGGUGAUCUGCCCAUCAGACGGGGACAACGAUUGGAAACGAUCGCUAAUACCGGAUAGGACGAAAGUUUAAAGGUGCUUCUGGCACCGCUGAUGGAUGAGCCUGCGGCGCAUUAGCUAGUUGGUAGGGUAAAGGCCUACCAAGGCGACGAUGCGUAGCCGACCUGAGAGGGUGAACGGCCACACUGGGACUGAGACACGGCCCAGACUCCUACGGGAGGCAGCAGUAGGGAAUCUUCGGCAAUGGGCGAAAGCCUGACCGAGCAACGCCGCGUGAAUGAUGAAGGCCUUCGGGUUGUAAAAUUCUGUUAUAAGGGAAGAACGACUUUAGUAGGAAAUGGCUAGAGUGUGACGGUACCUUAUGAGAAAGCCACGGCUAACUACGUGCCAGCAGCCGCGGUAAUACGUAGGUGGCGAGCGUUAUCCGGAAUUAUUGGGCGUAAAGAGCGCGCAGGUGGUUGAUUAAGUCUGAUGUGAAAGCCCACGGCUUAACCGUGGAGGGUCAUUGGAAACUGGUCGACUUGAGUGCAGAAGAGGGAAGUGGAAUUC
rnacentral:rRNA from 1 species